UAAAGGGAGGCCCCAGCGCGUUAAAACCACAUCCCCGCAGGAGGCUCGGCCGCCGGGCGCCCGCGGCCCUCCGUCCCGCCCCGGCCGGCUGGCGGUCACCUGGCACACCAGCGCCCGCAGGAUGCCCAGGGAUCACAUGCAGUGGUCUAAGGAAGAAGAAGCAGCAGCCAGAAAAAAAGUAAAGGAAAACUCAGCUGUGCGAGUCCUUCUGGAAGAGCAAGUUAAGUAUGAGAGAGAAGCUAGUAAAUACUGGGACACAUUUUACAAGAUUCAUAAGAAUAAGUUUUUCAAGGAUCGUAAUUGGCUGUUGAGGGAAUUUCCUGAAAUUCUUCCAGUUGAUCAAAAACCUGAAGAGAAGGCGAGAGAAUCAUCAUGGGAUCAUGUAAAAACUAGUGCUACAAAUUGUUUCUCAAGAAUGCACUGUCCUACUGUGCCUGAUGAAAAAAAUCAUUAUGAGAAAAGUUCUGGUUCUUCAGAAGGUCAAAGCAAAACAGAAUCUGAUUUUUCCAACCUAGACUCUGAAAAACACAAAAAAGGACCUAUGGAGACUGGAUUGUUUCCUGGUAGCAAUGCCACUUUCAGGAUACUAGAGGUUGGUUGUGGAGCUGGAAAUAGUGUGUUUC
rnacentral:sRNA from 1 species